rnacentral:rRNA from 1 species
UACGGAAGGGGCAAGCGUUGUUCGGAAUCAUUGGGCGUAAAGGGCGCGUAGGUGGUCCUAUGUGUCUACUGUGAAAGCACACGGCUCAACCGUGUCGGGUCGGUAGAAACUGUAGGACUUGAGGCUGGGAGGGGCUGGUGGAAUUCCCUGUGUAGCGGUGAAAUGCGUAGAGAUGGGGGAGAACACUCGUGGCGAAGGCGGCCAGCUGGACCAGUCCUGACACUGAGGCGCGACAGCAUGGGGAGCAAACAGGAUUAGAUACCCUGGUAGUCCAUGCCGUAAACGAUGGGCACUAGGUGCCGGCGGUAUUAAUCCCGUCGGUGCCGGCGCUAACGCAGUAAGUGCCCCGCCUGGGGAGUACGGUCGCAAGGCUGAA